rnacentral:rRNA from 1 species
UGGGGAAUAUUGCACAAUGGAGGGAACUCUGAUUCAGCGACGCCGCGUGAGUGAUGAAGGAAUUCGUUUCGUAAAACUCUGUUCUAUGGGAAGAAAAGGACUGUACCAUAGGAGAAAGCUCCGGCUAAAUACGUGCCAGCAGCCGCGGUAAUACGUAUGGAGCGAGCGUUGUCCGGAAUUAUUGGGCGUAAAGGGUGCGCAGGCGGCUUUACAAGUUGGAUGUGAAAUAUUGUGGCUCAACCACAAACGUGCAUCCAAAACUGCAAAGCUUGAGUUAAGGAGAGGUAAGUGGAAUUCCUGGUGUAGCGGUGGAAUGCGUAGAUAUCAGGAGGAAUACCGGUGGCGAAGGCGACUUACUGGACUUAAACUGACGCUCAGGCACGAAAGCGUGGGGAGCAAACAGG